AGAGCGAACGCUGGCGGCGUGCCUAACACAUGCAAGUCGAACGUGAACGGGGGCAACUCCUAGUAAAGUGGCGUACAGGUGAGUAACGCGUAGGUAAUCUACCCUAGAAUCUGGAAUAACCGGCCGAAAGGCUGGCUAAUACUGGAUAGAGCGAUGGGAUCCGUAAUGGGAUCUUUCGGGAAAGGGGGGUCGCAAGAUCUCUCGUUUUAGGAUGAGCCUGCGUCUCAUUAGCUAGUUGGCGGGGUAAUGGCCCACCAAGGCUUUGAUGGGUAGCUGGUCUGAGAGGAUGAUCAGCCACACUGGAACUGAAACACGGUCCAGACUCCUACGGGAGGCAGCAGUGGGGAAUCUUGCGCAAUGGACGAAAGUCUGACGCAGCCACGCCGCGUGAGUGAAGAAGGCCUUCGGUUGUAAGCUCUGUCGAACGGACGAAAAUGAUUGGCUAAUACCUCAGUCAUCUGACGUACGUUAAAGAAGACACCGGCUAACUCCGCGCCAGACG
rnacentral:rRNA from 1 species